UACGUAGGGUGCGAGCGUUAAUCGGAAUACUGGGCGUAAAGCGUGCGCAGGCGGUUGGUUAAGUCUGAUGUGAAAGCCCCGGGCUCAACCUGGGAAUGGCAUUGGAAACCGUGGCUGGCUAGAGUGUGGCAGAGGGGGGGUGGAAUUCCGCGUGUAGCAGGUGAAAUGCGUAGAGAUGCGGAGGAACACCAAUGGCGAAGGCAGCCCCCUGGGCUGACACGACGCUCAGGCACGAAAGCGUGGGGAGCAAACAGG
rnacentral:rRNA from 1 species